AGUUCCGGGGCCGAGCAGGACGCCUUUCCUGGAUACACCCGUAGAAGGCGCAGGAUUACAGCAGUGGACCGGGGUUCGAUUCCCCGCAUCUCCACCA
rnacentral:tRNA from 1 species